AACGAACGCUGGCGGCAUGCCUAACACAUGCAAGUCGAACGAGACCUUCGGGUCUAGUGGCGCACGGGUGCGUAACGCGUGGGAACCUGCCCUUAGGUUCGGAAUAACUCCCCGAAAGGGGUGCUAAUACCGGAUAAUGUCUUCGGACCAAAGAUUUAUCGCCUUUGGAUGGGCCCGCGUUGGAUUAGCUAGUUGGUAGGGUAAAAGCCUACCAAGGCGACGAUCCAUAGCUGGUCUGAGAGGAUGAUCAGCCACACUGGGACUGAGACACGGCCCAGACUCCUACGGGAGGCAGCAGUGGGGAAUAUUGGACAAUGGGCGAAAGUCUGAUCCAGCAAUGCCGCGUGAGUGAUGAAGGCCUUAGGGUUGUAAAGCUCUUUUACCCGGGAUGAUAAUGACAGUACCGGGAGAAUAAGCACCGGCUAACUCCGUG
rnacentral:rRNA from 1 species